AGGCUCAUAUGACCCAAAGCCGUUUGAGAGGUCAGAAUCCUUCAACCAACCCCCAUUUUGGUCAUCUGCCAAGAGAUUUGACAGAAGGUCCUGCUGCCUCUAUGCUGGGAAUGCGAAUCCCGUAGGUGUUGGUCGCUACAACAUCACCAAACACGAGAAACACACUCGGACGAUCCGGUACCAGUCCCUGUACCAGAGUGAAACGCGGCGGUACCUGAGUAACCUGGAGCGGGACGCCUACUUGCUUGAGCGGCUCAAGCCUUCUGCUAAGAACAACUGGAAUGAUUUGAUUGCUGUUCCGCAUCGCCCAACUGCUUCUGAAGAAAUUACCGCU